rnacentral:rRNA from 1 species
UACGGAGGGUGCGAGCGUUGUCCGGAAUUACUGGGCGUAAAGGGCUCGUAGGUGGCCAACUAAGUCAGACGUGAAAUCCCUCGGCUUAACCGGGGAACUGCGUCUGAUACUGGAUGGCUUGAGUUCGGGAGAGGGAUGCGGAAUUCCAGGUGUAGCGGUGAAAUGCGUAGAUAUCUGGAGGAACACCGGUGGCGAAGGCGGCAUCCUGGACCGACACUGACACUGAGGAGCGAAAGCCAGGGGAGCAAACGGG